AUAAGUAAAAUCAAAUGUAAUGUUUGAUUUCACUUUUAUUGGGAAAAUAAUUAGCCAAGAAAUGUGUAUUGAAUUCUCCACAUACUUUGAAACUGCGCAACUCUGAGUGGGCAAUGUAAUGAAGCAACUGUUACAUAUCUGUAUUAAACUAGCCAACAUAGACUCACCACCACAUGAUGUUGCCCUGCAGCGGGGGCAGAAAAUCAUUUGCAAACCAGAGAUCUUAUGUUGAUUAUCAUAUUCUUACUUAUGUACACACACACACAGAAGAGAAAAAUUUCAAAAUAAAACAAAAAACAACUUCGCUUAACCUGUCAAGCACAGGAGUAAAAUAAAAAUCUCUUUGGGCUCUGUUAAAAUUUCUUUAGUAAAAGUGUAAAAGGCCAAACCUAGGAGGUUGGGCAACCCGGAAAGUCCCUCCAGUAUCAGGAGUUAAUAGUCAGGAAACAUUCUUGACUUUAACGCCUUUUUUCUGAAAAACCACUGACUCAUAGAUGCAGAUAGACAUACAAGUGCACAUACAUCCAGAUGUGCAUUUAGACAUUAAAAGUGUAGAGGCAUGUACACACAGAUUGGCAAACCGGUACAGAGUCUAACUGAAGAGCUUAACAAAGCAGACGUGGCAGUAGGGUUUGUGAUUUUGCCUGAUAUGAUAUUGGGAACCAACUUUGAAUAAUGACAGGAACCUGAGAUGAACACAGUAAGUUAGUAAGGUAUAGCAGAGAAAGGGUCAGAGCGAAGGUAGUGGACCUGGGAAUGGUGUAGUGACGUCUUUGGAAGACGUCAAAAGGGGGAAUUGUGGAAUUACAGGGAUUAUUUUACAUAACCAUCAUCUUAUCAUUGCAGUAAUUAUCAUUUCAUCGAAGUGUUUAUUGAAGCUGCUGGCAUUAUGUUAUAAUUUAUAUUAUAGGGGUUAUCCUAAUCAAAUAUUAACAUGUUUAUUAUAGGUGCAGUUAUAACUACUUUAAAAUGAUUGAGUUAUAUAUAUAUAUAUCAUAACUCAUAUGCUGAGUAUAUUGGUAUAGUAAAAUAGUAGCUGAGCAAAGGCCUGAAUGUAUUCAGCUUCUUGUGGUAUUUGAGUUUGCUUAGUUACAGGUGACGGAAGGAUGUCCAGUCCAUGGUGACCUCAAAGGCCUUAGAUCAUCACUAUAUUCGGAAGAGUAUGCCACAAGGAGGAACCUCUGUGUUUGCAUUUAAUUCUUAAAAUACAUGAAUGUUCUGUACAUGCAAAUUAUGUGCUUGUAAACGCAAGAAGGGGCGUUACAAUACCCUGAUGUUAUAAAAGCAAUCUAGAGUGUAUUUUGGGUAGAGAUGUACAACUGUUUUGCAGUUUGCACCUCUCCACGCUGCGUGCAUUCAUUAAAAUCAAUUGUUUGAACGGCCUUUUCUGGACUAUCAUUGUUUUACUCUCAUCCUCAAUUUCGAACCCAUAACAUGCACAAACCAGGAAAUAUGUGAAGCUCCAUUAAUGCUGAACCACAUCUACAGGUUGAAGAGCAACGCCUCAGGUUAUCUGGGAACAGCGUCAGUUUCCACCAAUAUAACUGAAGCUGUUUCUACCUGUAAUGCUGGAAUAACCUAUUGAAUCACAUGAUCAGUGUUUACAAUCUGUUUACUGAGGUUUAAACUCUCCUCUGUGCUUCUGCCUGUUUAAAUAAAGUUUUGCUGCUUUCUUAUGCUGGAGUUUGAAUUCAGAGAUCAGGAACUAUAAAUGAAUGAACCCACAGAGGAGGCAGCUUUGUUGUGUGUUUGCUUACAGAGUCACUAAGAAACACACACAAUCCCCCGGCCUGGGUUACCAUGGAGACAGUCAAACUUUCAUUCACUUCCUGUUUCCACUGUUAGUUAGAUUUAUCUUCAUGUUGUCUGUGGUCUUAUGAUAGAUGAUGGCAGCACAGUUUCAC
ensembl:lncRNA